rnacentral:rRNA from 1 species
CCCUUAGAUGUCCUGGGCCGCACGCGCGCUACACUGACAUGUUCAACAAGCCUCCUAGUUCGACAGGAUUUGGGAAAUCUUUGAACGCAUGUCGUGAUAGGGAUAGAUCAUUGCAAUUAUUGAUCUUGAACGAGGAAUUCCUAGUAAACGCGAGUCAUCAGCUCGCAUUGAUUACGUCCCUGCCCUUUGUACACACCGCCCGUCGCACCUACCGAUCGAAUGUUUCGGUGAAGAUUCCGGAUAGGACCUUUUUGAUUUAUUUCAAUUUUGUCUUAAAAGCUAUCUAAACCUCAACAUUUAGAGGAAGGUGAAGUCGUAACA